GUCGGGAAUUUUGCACAAUGGCCGAAAGGCUGAUGCAGCAACGCCGCGUGGGGGAGGAAGGCCUUCGGGUUGUAAACCCCUGUUGCCCGUGACGAACGGCCAAGGCAGGAAAUGGUCUUGGAUUGACGGUAGCGGGUGAGGAAGCCACGGCUAACUACGUGCCAGCAGCCGCGGUAAUACGUAGGUGGCAAGCGUUGUCCGGAAUUAUUGGGCGUAAAGGGCGUGUAGGCGGCCUGGUAAGUGAGGGGUGAAACCCUGCGGCUCAACCGCAGGAUUGCCUCUCAAACUGCUGGGCUUGAGGGCAGGAGAGGGCAGUGGAAUUUCCGGUGUAGCAGUGAAAUGCGUAGAUAUCGGGAGGAACACCAGUGGCGAAGGCGACUGCCUGGACUGUACCUGACGCUGAGGCGCGAAAGCUAGGGGAGCAAACAGG
rnacentral:rRNA from 1 species